CUGGUUGAUCCUGCCAGUAGUCAUAUGCUUGUCUCAAAGAUUAAGCCAUGCAUGUCUAAGUAUAAAUACCUUAUACUGUGAAACUGCGUAUGGCUCAUUAAAUCAGUUAUAGUUUAUUUGAUGGUACCUCACUACAUGGAUAACCGUAGUAAUUCUAGAGCUAAUACAUGCGUUAAGUCCCGACUUCUGGAAGGGAUGUAUUUAUUAGAUAAAAAACCAACCGGGGCAACCCGUUUUCUGGUGAUUCAUAAUAACGUGUUCGGAGCUCAUGGCCUUGCGCCGGAGCCAGGGCAGUCAAAGU
rnacentral:rRNA from 1 species